UGGGGAAUAUUGCGCAAUGGGGGAAACCCUGACGCAGCAACGCCGCGUGAAGGAUGAAGGUUUUCGGAUCGUAAACUUCUUUGAUGGGGGACGAAAAAAAUGACGGUACCCCAAAAACAAGCCACGGCUAACUACGUGCCAGCAGCCGCGGUAAUACGGAGGGUGCAAGCGUUAUUCGGAAUUACUGGGCGUAAAGCGCGUGUAGGCGGUCCUGCAAGUCUGAUGUGAAAGCCCCGGGCUUAACCCGGGAAGCGCAUUGGAAACUGCAGGUCUUGAGUACUGGAGAGGAUGGGGGAAUUCCCGGUGUAGAGGUGAAAUUCGUAGAGAUCGGGAGGAAUAUCAGUGGCGAAGGCGCCCAUCUGGACGGUAACUGACGCUGAGACGCGAAAGCGUGGGGAGCAAACA
rnacentral:rRNA from 1 species